rnacentral:lncRNA from 1 species
CCCUCAUAUCUGUGGGGUCUGUGGGCUCAGUUCCUCUUUUUCCUGUAGGAUCUGUGGGAUCUGCUCUCCUUCUGCCUGUAGGAUCAGCUCCUCCUCCUGUAGGGUCUGUGGGGUCAGGUCCUCACCCUUCCUGUGGGGUCAGCUCCCCUUAUACCUGUAGGUUCAGCUCUUCAUCCCUCCUGUGGGAUCUGUGGGGUCAGCUGCCCUCAUACCUGUGGGGUCUGUGGGGUCAGCUCCCCUUAUUACCUUGUGGGCUUUGUGGGGUCAGCUCCUCUUUUUUUCCUGUA